rnacentral:rRNA from 1 species
AGCGGCGAACGGGUGAGUAACACGUAGGUGAUCUGCCCAUCAGACGGGGACAACGAUUGGAAACGAUCGCUAAUACCGGAUAGGACGAAAGUUUAAAGGUGCUUCUGGCACCGCUGAUGGAUGAGCCUGCGGCGCAUUAGCUAGUUGGUAGGGUAAAGGCCUACCAAGGCGACGAUGCGUAGCCGACCUGAGAGGGUGAACGGCCACACUGGGACUGAGACACGGCCCAGACUCCUACGGGAGGCAGCAGUAGGGAAUCUUCGGCAAUGGGCGAAAGCCUGACCGAGCAACGCCGCGUGAAUGAUGAAGGCCUUCGGGUUGUAAAAUUCUGUUAUAAGGGAAGAACGACUUUAGUAGGAAAUGGCUAGAGUGUGACGGUACCUUAUGAGAAAGCCACGGCUAACUACGUGCCAGCAGCCGCGGUAAUACGUAGGUGGCGAGCGUUAUCCGGAAUUAUUGGGCGUAAAGCGAGCGCAGGCGGAAAAAUAAGUCUAAUGUGAAAGCCCUCGGCUUAACCGAGGAACUGCAUCGGAAACUGUUUUUCUUGAGUGCAGAAGAGGAGAGUGGAACUCCAUGUGUAGCGGUGGAAUGCGUAGAUAUAUGGAAGAACACCAGUGGCGAAGGCGGCUCUCUGGUCUGCAACUGACGCUGAGGCUCGAAAGCAUGGGUAGCGAACAGGAUUAGAUACCCUGGUAGUCCAUGCCGUAAACGAUGAGUGCUAAGUGU